GAUUAUGUGAAGACCAGUUGAGUUCCUGAUGGUCCAUCUCGACUUAACUCUUGUGCAGACUGUUGUAACAAGAAAAAUAUUAUUCUCCAGGUAUCCUGGGAUCGGUGAUCUGAAGCUGCAGUUAGGGCGACUGCUUAUCCUGGUUGGCCUGGGCCCCUCCUGGUUAUCAAACCCAAGUCAUCAACAGCAUCAAAGUGGGAGCUCUUAGAGUACAGAUCCCAGCUCAGCUAUUCUGAGUUCCUGAGUUUAACUUAUAGCAGUGGAGUUCAGGAAUCUGUAUGUAUUUUAUAAAGUACUCCCAGGUGAAUCUGAUAAACUGUUCUAGAAAACAUGCAGAAUUCCUGAUUUUGAGACAUGCUCUGUGUGUGCGUGUAUGUGUGUUUUCCCUUCCCUUUCCCAAGAUGCCAACAACUGCUUUCUCUUCUGUAUUACAAUUGUAACAUGUAUGGUUGCAAUGUAUAUGCGUUUCAUGGUAAAUUCUACUUAAGUAUUAAGAUGUUUAGGGAUACUAGACCAAGAAAUUCUUUAUAAAAAGCUGUUUUCUCUUUCUCUUUCUACUUCUAGAAACUAUCACAGUGCUUGAACAUAGUGUAUAUUCACUAAAUAAACCAAUUAACAAGAGAAGAUAUUUAGGAAUAACUUAGUGCUUAAAGUCUGUUCUACCAGCCAUUAAAGAGAAGCAUUUAGAGGAUGCUUCAUGGAGGAAGUGGCAUUGGGAGGAGGGCUAGAAUCCAGGAAGAUAGAGAAAGGCAGGAGGGGGUUAUAUGCAGGAGGGGAAAAGAAUAGCAAUACCAAGUUGAUAGGUGUGAUUAUGGGGAAAUGUGCAAAUGGUGGAAAUUAAAGUUGAUCACAAAAACACUUUAGAUUCUUCACCAGGGAGUAACAAGAUCAAAGCAGUACUUUAGUAAGGUCCUUGAUCAUAAUGAAUAUAUCUGCAGUCAAGAGAAACUGGCACGAGGAAACCCUGGGUAGGUGUUUAUGCCGCUUGUUGUAAAUGUACUGUUCAAGCUCAGCAGAUCUCAAUUUCAAACCAGUAAGUUGAAGGGACUCAUACUUCAUCUCUUUUUUACACACAUGCUGCUAUUUGUUUUCAGGUUUUUUGGCCCUGACAUCACAGCACCACCUUUGUAUACUCAGGCCCUUGAGGAUCAUUCUGGGGACCAGCAGCACGUAACCAAAACUUGCUUUUCUUCCUACCCUUCUUCCCCUCCCUCUCCUUAUCUUCCCUGUCCUUCCAUUCACCGCACCUUUUCAGAAACUGCAUUGGUCAUUUCUGAGCUGUUCAGCUAAUAUAUAACCACUUUAAUGUAUGUGAUCAUAUAAAUAAGAAGAUACAGCCCCCCUAGUUUCAAUUAGAGAACAGUUAAAAUGUAUAUCUACACAUUUCACUGAAAAUGCAGACAACGAAAUUCAGUUGGCAUAAACUGGAGUCAAAUAUGAAGAGUCCUAUAAUACUCCCUAUAAAAACAAUAAAAUGAUAAUAAAGUGGAUCAUUCAACAAUUUAAAUGAUCCUCAGCCAAAUUCCACAUAUGCCACCCCACCCCCUUCGAGGGCUCCUUCCUAUUUCCCUGAAAAUUUAUGCAACUCCAUUCUUUUAGUUUUGCAUAUAAAGAUUUUAGUGCUCUCCUUGACUCCUCUCAUUCUUUCUCUUUUAGACCUAACACAUUGACUCUACUUUCCAAAUACAUUCUGGGCUUGAUCACUUCUAACCAUUCCCCAAUUUAAGUUACCAUUGUCAUCUCUCACCUAGAUUCUUCCAGUACAGCUCCGACCAGAUCCUUGCUUUUGCUCCUGCCCACAAUAUGGCAGCCAGAACUGUAUUGCCAAUACCAUUUGAUCAUGGUGCUUCUCUCCUGAGAACUCUAUUGUGCCUUCCUUUCUCAUCCAGGGUAAAAAUUAAAGCCCCUCAUUGUAAUGUAUGUGGCCGCUUCUGGUCUGUGCUCCUGGUAAUCUCUCUGUCUUCAUCUCUUUUUGCCCUUCCCCCAUGGCCUCUGGCUGCAGCCACAUGGCCCCCUCGCUGGUCCUUAAACCAACAACAUUCUCCAGAUAAUGUCCAUGCAGUUCCCUCUGCCUUCCUCAGAUAAAUGUGUGUCCAGCUUCUUCACGUCCUGUCACAUCUUUACUUAGAAUGUCACUCCCAAUAAAGCCUUGCUCUGCCACGGUCUAAAAUUCCAUCCCUCCUCUCCAAAAAUUUUUUCAUAUUUCCCAUCUUAACAUAUUAUUUGUUCUGCACUGGAGAGAAAAUGCCAUAAAAAUCUAGUUGAGUCUCUUUUGUUAGCUGGUGUAAUCCCUUCACUAGAAUAGUGCCCAAUACCUAGGAAAUAGAAAAUCAAAAAUGCCGAAUACAUGGAUAUAUGAAACCAUAGCCAUAGUUUGCAUGGUAGUAUUUGACAUUGCUCUCACUAUAUUUAAAAAUACAGAUUUAUCUUUAUCUUCUGAUCUUAACAUAUAGGAAAUCUAUUAAAAACUUUAUUAUUUCACAAUUUAUAUGAUUUGAUUGAUGUUUUAGUACUUAACAUACCAAAUUGAAAAUGUUGAUGUGAAUACUACAAUAUUAGUUUCUGGCAGUAGUUUUAUUUGUUUUGAAUGUUCUUCCUUUAAUGUUUAGUAUUAGAUACAUUUGUGGAAAAAAUUUCAUUUAUUUGUUUCUAAUGUUCUUUAAUGUUUAGUAUUAGAUAUAUUUGUGAAAGGAAGUCUUAAAUUAAUAAAUGCUCUAGAGUGUGUUACUUACUAAUAUUUCAAAUUAGAAGACAUCAGAUGGACAAACUCUUUUCUUUUUUUAGAUAGGACAUUCCAAAUUGCAUUCUCUUCAAGGAAAAAUUGGCAUCUAUAAAAUUUGGACUAAUGAUUUUGAUUUUGAAAGAAAUUAUAGGGUGAUCAAUUUAGAUUGCUAUCAAAAGUUUAGUACAUAAAUAUGCUAUUUUAAAAGUUGGUAUAUCACAUAGUGAACACCAGCAUUUCAGUGUAAUGCUAUGAAAAUGCCAAGGUUUCAUUUCCUAAAAAAUGCAUCCCUAUGUCAGUGUGAGCCCUUACACAUCCAAGAUAGAGGUGAGAAGCUUGCCAAAAUCCAGGUUCUUAUGAUCUGCAUACAUUUCCAGAAGUGCCAGCUUUAAUUAGGUAAAUAUAAGAGUUAUAUAAUUUAUUCACACUUACUGGCAUAACAUUCUUAUGAGUUGUUUUAAAUAAAUGCAAGAUGUGUUUGAACACACAUGCACAUACAGAAAGAAGUUAAGUAGUUGUCCUUUGGGGCAUUCCAAUUGGAGGUCAAACAUCAUAUCAACACUCAUUCCUCUCUCUCAGGCUGAUGAAAAUGCCAUGUGAUGAAUGUUGAAUCUAAGCCCAAAAGCAUCUGUACACCACUGAAACCUUGCUCACACAAUUUUCAGCUGUACUCUGAUGGCUGAGUAACUUCGACCUUCUGUCUGGGCAUAUAGCUUUGCCAAUGCUUUUGCUUUGAGGUAGUGAGCUUUGAAACUCCUAACACAUAUUCAUCUUGUAGUUUCUAACAAUACCAGUUUAUCCUCAGUGUGGGAAUUAUUUCGCAUCCAUGAAACCUUAGAUAUCAUUCAUGCUGAUUUCGAAAUACAUUUUCUUGAAGAUAGUUUUCCUCCAAGACAAACCAUAUGGCAUAUUUUCUUUGGCAACUGUUUUCUUUUUGCAAUCCUUCAUAUUAAAAUUAAGGUAAAUAUUUUUAAAGAGUAUGUUAUAGUCUUUGUAUUUCUUUCCCCCUACAUCUUCCUCAAAAGCCCCAUAAACUUGUUUUCUUCCCUGUCCCCUCUGUUCUUAUUUUAUUGGUUGGUUGUGUGUGUAGAGGUGGGACUGGUGUAAUUUUUUAAAGAUUGUAGAGUGCUUGGUUUCCUUGCUCUUCUGCAGAGCGGUGGACAUGGCGUGGGCACUGCCCUUGCUCUUUCUAUUAUUCAUUCCAAACUCGACGUGACAGGACACUGGCCAUGGACAGCUGCCCAGACAGGUGGCUUACAUGACACAGAGUCCCUGAGGCAGGUCAGUGCAAAAGCCGUCAAGACCUUUUUGACAAAACAGGUGUUCGCCAGGGUGAAAAAGAGUGUGUAGCACUCAAGAGUUCACAAAUUGCGUUUCACUUCCUUUUUUUUUUUCUCACUGGACCUCAUAGUAAUCCUUGGAUAUACUAAAAUAAUUGUUUCCUGCCCUUUCCACAUGAAGACAAAGAGGGCUAAAGAGAGACAGAGUCAGGGCUCAAAUCUCAAGCCUGAAAGUUUUCGCUCUUUGCACCACAGCAGCUCAGUGUCCUCUGUGAGCCCCAGGGAGCACUGGUGAAAUCAACUGCAAAGUUCAAGAUGUGUGUGAAGGACAGCUGAAUCUGAUCAAUUCUAGGCUUUUCCUCCCUGCUCCCACCCCCUCCCUGGAAAUAAACUUUGCCUUUUCUUUAGGUUUACAUUACUUGUGUAUUGGCUUAUACAUAAUAUUUUUCUAUCUAUCUAUCAUCUGCCUAUCUAUCCAUCCAUCCAUUUAUCUGAAAUCUAUCAUUUUUUCAAUAUAAGCAAAUGUUUUAAAACAUUAAUUCAUAAAAACUACAGCCAUGAGGAAGACUAUAGAGUUUAGGUAUACAUAUUCAUAUACAAAAAAAUCAUAAUACUAUAAGUGUAUAAAAUGGUAUUACACUUAAUGUAAUCAUCUUCCAAAGUAUAUGGUGUGAGCACGUGGUGUAAUAGCUGAGGGGCAGUCUCCUGUGUGGUUUGAAAAUAUAGGCAUUGGCAUCAGAGGCCCAGUUAAUAAUUGGCUCUGUCAGUUAAUAUUAGUCUGACCUAUGUGACCUAUUUAAUUUCUGAGUCAGGUAAUAUAUUUUUGCACAAAAUGAUGCUCAUAUACUUACAAAUGUGUUGCAAAAAUGAAAUGGUUAAUGUUCAUUGAACUGAAGCUUAGUGCAUAGCAUAUAAUACACCCUCAAAAGAGACAAGUGUUUUUUCCACACCUAUAAUUCUUAAUCAGCCAUAUUAAAUAGAAACACCUAAUAAUUUCAUUUGAUACCAGUAUUAUGUGGGCAAUGUUGAUUAAGCUCCAGCAAAUAUUCUUUCCAGCAAUGCAUGAAGAAAUAAGAUUUUUCACUAUUACCUUUUUUUUUGUAAUGCAUAAUGUCAGACUAUUUUUUGCUCAAGUUACAACUGAAAACUUAUUUUUAAAAUGCCAAUAUUGAGAGUUUCCUGUCGGCUCAGCAGGUUAAGUAUCCAGUGUUGUCACUGCUAUGGUUCUGGUUACUGUUGUGGCACUGGUUCGAUCCCUGGCCUGGGAACUUCUGCAUGCUGCAG
rnacentral:lncRNA from 1 species